rnacentral:rRNA from 1 species
UACGUAGGCAGCGAGCGUUGUUCGGAAUUACUGGGCGUAAAGAGUGUGUAGGCGGUGCUCUAAGUUCGGUGUGAAAUCUCCUGGCUCAACUGGGAGGGUGCGCCGGAAACUGGAGUGCUUGAGCGUGGGAGAGGAAAGCGGAAUUCCUGGUGUAGCGGUGAAAUGCGUAGAUAUCAGGAGGAACACCUGUGGUGUAGACGGCUUUCUGGACCAUAGCUGACGCUGAGACACGAAAGCGUGGGGAGCAAACAGG